CCUCACGCUAGCUGGGUCUAAGCCCCGUAAAGGCUAACACAAGCUCAGUGUAAAAAGUCCUAUAGGGGCCCACCUCUAUCUCCCUCACUACCCCACCAAUCCCCCUCUUCCCUUCUUGUGCUGCCUGACUACACUUUCGCUUCGCAUUACUUCUGCUAUUCUAACUUUUCCACUUCUGAGCACUAUCAAUUAUGCACUAGAAUAACAGUGGGGCCAGGCUUGCCAGCAGGACAUAAAGGCCGAUUAUGAGUGUGAAUAAUUUAGCCAUCUUCGUGCCAUGUUCCUCUUACCAGUGAUACAGACAGGGCUUUGCUGCUAAUGUACGACGGCAGACGCAGUCUGACCUGGCCUUAAUGUAAGGACAGCUCUCUACAUCCCAGAGAAAGGAGAAGAUGGAGAGCUGGAGAGGACAUAAAAAGUGUGGCUGUACUACAUUAUUAAAGCAGCUGUGAACCUGAUGUCGCUCACAGAUUGAUAGUCUGACACUGUCACGAACCUGGCAACUGACACCUGUCAGUCUGUUAACAAGAAGACUGGGAAUCCAGGGCCGAUCUAAAAACAAAUUCAUCAAGAUAUUUAUGUUAUUCAUCUAUUCAAACAACUUAUGGGAAGUACAAACAAGUUACAAACAAAAAAAAAUUUAAAAGAAAAUCCCGAGAGCAGACAAAGAAAACAAACUCCCAUAGAGGGAAUGUGUACAGCCGUGUCAGCCAUCAUGAAUGUUUUUGGUUAAGGUCAUACAAACCAGACGAGCAGACAACCUUCCAUCAACUUCAUGCUAAAAACAUGUCUACCUUGACUUCAUUUUUCAUGAAUUGCGUGCGAAGUUUUGCAAGUGCUACUCUUCUUAGAGAUCACAAACAGUAAUGAAUAUUUCAUCACUCCACCCAAAGCCAAGCACACACUCUAAUCCAAUACGAGAAAUGUGAUUCAUCUCUUUUCCCACAGGCUAACAAUCUAAUUCAACUCUGUACCUCAUAAAAAAUAUUACCACUGAAACAUCUGCAAAUUGUCAGGCUUUUCCAUAAAAGGUAUAAUGAACAGAAGGCAAGUUUGCAUUUUCUAUAGCCAAAUUUUAAACAGGGGAAAGUUUCACAUCUAUUAAAUCUGACUGGGGAAAUAUAUAUAUAUUAAUGAAUAUCUAUUUGAAAAAAAAAAUAAAGUUGAAAUUCAAGAGUAAUUAUUCAAUAUAAAAAGAAAUACACGGGGUGGACAAAAAACGAUGGUAUAAUAAUAACUUGUAUGGUAUGGUAAAACGGUAUGGUACAUAAUUCAUUAAAUAAGAAGGUGUAGUCCCUCAUUCGUCCAGGAGUGUUCCAUCGUAGAAAAGUAUAAAAUUCAUUAGAGGGUUUUUUUUUUAUUGGAUUGCAUUUUACUGUAGGAUGAUAUUAUCAACCAUUAUGUAUAAAUAUUAUAAGUAAAAGCAAAACAAAUACAAUAGUAACAAUUUUGAGAAUUUCUCUAUACACAAUUGUAAAAUUGAAUAAAAUUGAAUAUUAAAAAAACAGCAGCUGCUAGUUCUUGUAAUAAUUUAGUGAAUUUUAGUUGUUAAAUGUUAAAUGUUUUUUUUUUUUUUUUUUUUUUUAAUUGUACAAUGAUGUACUAAAAGUUUGUUAAUAUGUAGUAUGUUAGUAUGUAAUCUUAAACGUGUUAACGAUUUCUCUUUUUAAAUUGUGUAUUAUGUGUCAAAUCGCUCGUAGGAACCACAAAUUAUGAAAGUGAAUUUUGCACAAAAUGUUAAAAAUGUCAAAGGCAUAACCUUAAAAUAGCCAGGCCAAACACUAUGGCGUUUCUGAAAAAAAGCCCCUUCACUCCUUCUUAUUUGUGCUUCCGUUUGUCAUGCACGCUCUAAUCCUGGCUGGAAUGUCCCCGGCCGUGGAGUCCUGCGGCCCUGAGGAACAGAACAGCAGGUGAAACUGAAGUCUCUGAGGACUUGUCCCGCCUCACAGCUACUCCAGUAGUUCUACUGUAGAUUCAACCAGAACCCCUGUUACACAAGAGCCCAAAUAUGCACGAAAACUAUUCUGUUUUCCCUGAAGCAGGAAUGUGCUUUUAAUGGAACGAAACAAAAUUUAAAUAAUAAUUUUUUUUUAAAACCUAAUCAUAUACAUUUUUAAACAACCUGGUAUUCUUUAAUGUCUGUCUUCAUUGUUCCUGUCCUAUCUGAUCCCUGACUUCCAUACCUGGUGAAUUAUGGGCAGAUUAUUACAGAUUAUAGAUUAUUUAAUUUGCCUAAGAAGGUUGUCCUUGCUGAGUAGCUUUAAUCACUGUUGCCUAGUUAAUGUAAUUUUUUAAUGUCUCAAAAUCUGAACAUUUCAAAUCAAUAACUGAUUUAAUGCCAUAUUUACCGCUUUGUGUCUGGCUGGUGCCACAUUUUUCUUGGCUUGGCCACCAUGUUUCAUCACACAUACACACACACA